rnacentral:tRNA from 1 species
GGAGGAGUCCGAUAGCUGGUCCAUUCGGGGAGUUUGCUAAACUCCUGAGCCGCAAGGCUCGCGUGGGUUCGAAUCCCACCUCCUCCG